AGGUAAUGGCUUCCAGUCUGAAUGGAUUAUCGGUGGGGGAUUCCCUCCCUGAGAAUCUUAUGGAAUCCACAGCAAGAUCUGAAAACAUCUGUUGCCCCAGGAGCCCAAAUUGAUGAAAGGGUACCUCCGCACAUUCUUUACAGAAUAUCCUUAUAAUGGACUACAGUGUGUCUAACUUGGAGAAUGUGAGAUCUCAAGAUUCUUUCUUUAUUAAUGUUGCCAUCUCACUAUCUAUGGCUUCAAAAGGCCAUGACAAAGAUGAGAGAAUUUUUUAGCACCAUGCAUUUUUGCAAAGCAAAAGGUAUGAAGAUGCAAAAAAUUUUGAUAUUUGUCGAUGGAAUUAGUUGCAUAAUGAUCUCAAUGUUGGUUUAUAUACUUUAUAAGCUUUAUGAUGAGGCAUUAUGUUUUCGAGUAAAGUCUCAUAGGACACUUGGUUUUAUAAGUCGGAAGGAUGAGUGGUAAAGAUGGCUCGUUCACAUAAUCUUGGCAUUGUUAAGAAAGAUUUUUCUUCAUUGGGUAAAAUGAGAAAUUAUGAUGAUUACCAAGCACAUGGAUGAAGCUUAAUAAUCAUCCCAUAGAGAGUAAAAUAAUGGAAAAAUUAUUUCAGGUGAUACUUUUUUGUGUGUUAGAGUCUGAAGGACUCAUUGAGGAACCGGCUCCUAUUUGCUUAUGUCUGAAAUAAGUAAAUUUGUAGUUAUUAUAACAGAAUAGAUUAUAGUUAUUAUGCUGGCUUGAAAUGUAAGGCUUGUUUCUAGUUCCAAGAACUGAGGGAAUCAUGUUGAUUUGCAAGUCCCAAAGAGUCCAAUUUUUGCAACCCACUAUUUUGUUUGUCUGAAAAGACAUGUUUUGGGGGAAGUUGUUUGGCUGCGUUCAUCUUCAAGAAAGAAGUUUUGGGGUGCAAAGUUGUGGAGGCUGUUCGCCUUUUGGUAUUUCUUUCAAUCGAUAUUCUCAUUGCAAAUUUUAUUUUGUUGCUUUGUGGUCGAUCAAUUUUGCAUACAGUUAUUGAUUAUAGACUUGUUAAUUGUUGUUCCUCUUUUUUUUCCAGAAAUGUUGCACAUAAAGUUCGGUAAACAUGCAAUUUUGUUUUUUCUUUUUGUUUAAUCCUUGUUUAUUCAUAGUAUUUUUAUAGGCAAUUCUUUUAGGACUGAGGCUCGGUAACGUUGGGUUAAUAUAUGAUUUUGCUGAAGCAGAUGCUAUAGCUCAAGGUUUUCAGAAAAAGCUUCAAUCUUACUUACAAUGAUGGACCAUUUGGACCAUGCUAAUUUUAUGCUAUCUACGGUCAAAAUUUGUUUCCUAAGGUUCUCAGGAAAAGCUUCAAUCUUACUUACAAUGAUGGACCAUUUGGACUACAACAAAUAUAUAUUAUCUAGUUUUGUUAGACCUCAACACAAGCAGCCUACUGCAGGAUGAGCUCGCCUCACAGUACUCUCCAAUGUCAGAAGAUUCAGAUGAUUCUCAGUACUUUGAGGCCCUAUUAAACACCACCACUGCCCAGUCUGAUGUCAUGAAUAGCCCUACCAGUCCAGUUUCUCCUCACAGGCAUCAGAAACCAACAAUGUUCUCUUCUUCCAAUUCCUACCCUCUUCCUAGCUGCACCCUUGCCUCUGUUGUCUGCUCCCAUCCACGCCACCGGGGAUCAGACUCAGAAGGUCGGUUUCCGUCUUCGCCAAAUGAUGUGUGCCACACAGCAGACCUCAGACGGGCUGCGCUGUUGAGAUCAGUGCAGAUGAGAGCACAGCCACAUUGCCCUCCUGCAUCUGCAUUGCCAUUUAGAGGCGGGCAAGAGAGUAUUCAGAGUGCAGAAGAGGAAGAAGACCG